GAUGAAGAACGUAGCGAAAUGCGAUAAGUAAUGUGAAUUGCAGAAUUCAGUGAAUCAUCGAAUCUUUGAACGCACAUUGCGCCCGCCAGUAUUCUGGCGGGCAUGCCUGUUCGAGCGUCAUUACAACCCUCAGGCCCCCGGGCCUGGCGUUGGGGAUCGGCGGAAGCCCCCUGCGGGCACAACGCCGUCCCCCAAAUACAGUGGCGGUCCCGCCGCAGCUUCCAUUGCGUAGUAGCUAACACCUCGCAACUGGAGAGCGGCGCGGCCACGCCGUAAAACACCCAACUUCUGAAUGUUGACCUCGAAUCAGGUAGGAAUACCCGCUGAACUUAAGCAUAUCAAUAAGCGGACGA
rnacentral:misc_RNA from 1 species